AUUCCUACGGGAGGCAGCAGUGGGGAAUAUUGGACAAUGGGCGCAAGCCUGAUCCAGCCAUGCCGCGUGUGUGAAGAAGGCCUUAUGGUUGUAAAGCACUUUAAGCGAGGAGGAGGCUACUUUAGAUAAUACCUAGAGAUAGUGGACGUUACUCGCAGAAUAAGCACCGGCUAACUCUGUGCCAGCAGCCGCGGUAAUACAGAGGGUGCAAGCGUUAAUCGGAUUUACUGGGCGUAAAGCGCGCGCAGGCGGUUUGUUAAGUCAGAUGUGAAAUCCCCGGGCUCAACCUGGGAACUGCAUCUGAUACUGGCAAGCUUGAGUCUCGUAGAGGGGGGUAGAAUUCCAGGUGUAGCGGUGAAAUGCGUAGAGAUCUGGAGGAAUACCGGUGGCGAAGGCGGCCCCCUGGACGAAGACUGACGCUCAGGUGCGAAAGCGUGGGGAGCAAACAGGAUUAGAUACCCUGGUAGUCCACGCCGUAAACGAUGAGUGCUAAGUGUUAGGGGGUUUCCGCCCCUUAGUGCUGCAGCUAACGCAUUAAGCACUCCGCCUGGGGAGUACGACCGCAAGGUUGAAACUCAAAGGAAUUGACGGAAU
rnacentral:rRNA from 1 species